rnacentral:ncRNA from 2 species
ACGAAUUGCACGGGGAGCCUGAUCGCUUCAGGCUGAGAGGAGGGCAGGCCAGCCCUCGACCCGAGAACCUGAUCCGGAUAAUGCCGGCGGAGGAAUGCAACACAGGUCGAUC